CGCACGCGCCAUCUGUAUAAAAGGCGAGCACCUCCAUUGCGGUGCCCAAUGGGCUGGAGGCUGUGAGCAUCGAGAGCAAGGGCUGCCUGAGCAGCGGACUGUGAAGAGACAGAUGGGACAUCGUUGGAACGCAGGCCCAAGGAGAGGCCCCGUGCAGCUCUCUUCAGGGACCAUCCCGGGGUGCUCGACCUGUCCCUGCAAGAAGAACACCCAUCACCACCAAUCUCUUCAUGCGUCUGCCGUUGGCCACCUUUCCUACCCACCACCAGCCCAACCUGCUUCCUCCCCACACAUCUUGGCCUUGUGGCACUCCUAGCCCCACACUGUGGCCAUGCUGCAUCCUUCUAUCUGUCCUGUAUCAUCUUCUGCUUCUCCACUGGUAUGUGGAGCAUGGGCAGACUGUGCCUGUUCUCUCCUCAGGGCCUUUGCUUCCCUGGCUUUUCCCAGCUGGCACCCACAUGCACACAGCUGUGCAGAUCCUUCCCAAAUAACAGCCUUCAUCCUGUGGGAUGGAAUAAACCUCCUUUCCACACACAGACUUCAA